AGCGAACGCUGGCGGCGUGCCUAACACAUGCAAGUCGAACGUGAAAAGGGGCAACCCUGAGUAAAGUGGCGUACGGGUGAGUAACACGUAGGUAAUCUACCCUAGAGUUUGGAAUAACCUGCCGAAAGGCGGGCUAAUACUGGAUAGAGCGAAGGAGGCUGUAGAGGCCUUUUCGGGAAAGGGAGCUUGAAAGAGCCCUCGCUUUAGGAUGAGCCUGCGUCCCAUUAGCUAGUUGGUAGGGUAAAGGCCUACCAAGGCUGUGAUGGGUAGCUGGUCUGAGAGGAUGAUCAGCCACACUGGAACUGAAACACGGUCCAGACUCCUACGGGAGGCAGCAGUGGGGAAUCUUGCGCAAUGGACGAAAGUCUGACGCAGCAACGCCGCGUGAGUGAAGAAGGCCUUCGGGUUGUAAAGCUCUGUCGAACGGGACGAAAAGCAAGUAGGUGAAUAGCCUAUUUGCCUGACGGUACUGUUAAAGGAAGCACCGGCUAACUCUGUG
rnacentral:rRNA from 1 species